GAUGAACGCUAGCGGCAGGCCUAACACAUGCAAGUCGAGGGAUAAGCCUUCGGGCUAAGACCGGCGCACGGGUGCGUAACGCGUAUACAAUCUGCCUUUUAUCCGGGGGAUAGCCCGAAGAAAUUUGGAUUAAUACCCUAUGGUAUAAGAGCACGGCAUCGUGCACUUAUUAAAGCUACGGCGGUAAAAGAUGAGUAUGUGUUCUAUUAGCUAGUUGGAGAGGUAACGGCUCCCCAAGGCGACGAUAGAUAGGGGUUCUGAGAGGGAUGUCCCCCACACUGGUACUGAGAUACGGACCAGACUCCUACGGGAGGCAGCAGUGAGGAAUAUUGGACAAUGGUCGGAAGACUGAUCCAGCCAUGCCGCGUGCAGGAUGACGGCCCUAUGGGUUGUAAACUGCUUUUGUAAGGGAAGAAUAAGGAGUACGUGUACUUUGAUGACGGUACCUUACGAAUAAGCAUCGGCUAACUCCGUG
rnacentral:rRNA from 1 species